rnacentral:rRNA from 1 species
AAUGAACGCUGGCGACGUGCCUAAUACAUGCAAGUCGAGCGAAGCGGGGACGGGGGCGUAACACGUAGAUAACCUCCUAUAAGACUGGGAUAACUUCGGGAAACCGGAGCUAAACCGGAUACUUAUAGAUGGAUACGCGCUGCAUUAGCUAGUUGGUAAGGUAACGGCUUACCAAGGCAUCGAUGCCUAACCGACCUGAGAGGUUGUUCGGCCACACUGUAACUUAGACACGUUCCAGACUCCUACGGGAGGCAGCAGUAGGGAAUCUUCCGCAAUGGGCGAAAGCCUGACGGAGCAAACCCGCGUGAGUUAUGCAGGUCUUCGGAUCGGAAACCUCUGUUAUUUGGGAAGCGGUAACUAAUCAGAACGCCACGGCUCAGCACGUGCCAGCCGCCGCGGUAAUUC